AAUUAUUUACAUUUGUUUAAAACUUACCCAAUAUUUUUUUUUUUUUUUUUUUUUUUUUUUUUUUUUUUUUUUUUUUUUUUUUUUUUUUUUUUUUUUUUUUUUUUGUUUUUAAUAUUUUUUUUUAAUAAAUACAUAAUUGAUAUUUGUAUAUAUUUAUAGUUAUGUAUAUAAUUAUAGUUAUUAAUGUAUUUAAUUAUAGUUGUCGCAUCAACGAU
rnacentral:misc_RNA from 1 species